rnacentral:rRNA from 1 species
ACCGGCGGCUCGAGUGGUAACCGUUAUUAUUGGGCCUAAAGCGUUCGUAGCCGGUUGGAUAAGUCUCUUGAGAAAUCCCGCAGCUCAACUGUUGGGCUUUCUGGAGAUACUGUCAGACUUGAGGUCGGGAGAGGUUAGGGGUACUCCAGGGGUAGGGGUGAAAUCUUAUAAUCCUGGGAGGACCACCUGUGGCGAAGGCGUCUCACCGGAACGGACCUGACGGCGAGGAACGAAAGCUAGGGGCGCGAACCG